CUCGCCGACCGGCCGCGCGGUGCCGCCCUUUCCGCCGUUCGCGCCCGGGCUGCCGCGGGGACGUCGGCUCGGACUCCGCCAAUGGAUCCUCGGUUCUUCAGUUACUAUAAUUCACCUUAUGAAGUUCCAGAUAUAAGAUAUAUUCAAACCCAUCAAGGAGAAAUUACUGAUUGGGUUUCAGAAAGGAUUUUACACCUCAGACAGGAGAGGAGUAAUGGCCAUGGCUGCCCUGGGCCUCUCUCUGCAGGAUGCAGGCAGCUGCCGUCCGGUGGAAGCUCUAAGUUCAGAAAUAAAGGCCAUAACCUGCCGAGCGUAUUUGUAGUAAGAUGCCAUACAAAUUCAAGUGAUCUCUGCACCCAACGUGGGGCUCAAACUCACUACCCUGAGAUCAAGACUCAGUUGCUCUACCGACUGAGCC
rnacentral:lncRNA from 1 species